rnacentral:rRNA from 1 species
UUCGUAGGCGGUGCGGCAAGUCGGGAGUGAAAUCUCUGGGCUUAACUCAGAGGCUGCUUCCGAAACUGCCGUGCUCGAGUGUGGGAGAGGCGCGUGGAAUUGCAGGUGUAGCGGUGAAAUGCGUAGAUAUCUGCAGGAACACCCGUGGCGAAAGCGGCGCGCUGGACCACAACUGACGCUGAGGAACGAAAGCUAGGGGAGCAAACAGGAUUAGAUACCCUGGUAGUCCUAGCCCUAAACGAUCAGGACUUGGGGUGCCGCCCGUUCGGGCGUCGUCCCGGAGCUAACGUGUUAAGUCCUGCACCUGGGGAGUACGGUCGCAAGACUGAA